rnacentral:rRNA from 1 species
AUUGAACGCUGGCGGCAUGCCUUACACAUGCAAGUCGAACGGCAGCACGGGAGCAAUCCUGGUGGCGAGUGGCGAACGGGUGAGUAAUAUAUCGGAACGUGCCCAGUAGUGGGGGAUAACUGCUCGAAAGAGCAGCUAAUACCGCAUACGACCUGAGGGUGAAAGGGGGGGGAUCGCAAGACCUCUCGCUAUUGGAGCGGCCGAUAUCAGAUUAGCUAGUUGGUGGGGUAAAGGCCUACCAAGGCAACGAUCUGUAGUUGGUCUGAGAGGACGACCAGCCACACUGGGACUGAGACACGGCCCAGACUCCUACGGGAGGCAGCAGUGGGGAAUAUUGGUCAAUGACGCAAGUCUGAACCAGCCAUGCCGCGUGAAGGAUGAAGGCCUUCUGGGUUGUAAACUGCUUUUGUCAGGGAAGAAAU